rnacentral:ncRNA from 1 species
AAAGCAUCUAAGCGGGAAGCCAACUUCAAGAUGAGUUUUCCCAUUUGUAUAAAGUAAGAUCCCAGGAAGACUACCUGGUUGAUAGGCUGGAGAUGGAAGCAUAGUGAUAUGUUGAGUUGACCAGUACUAAUAGAUCGAGGAUUUAAUCAU